CAAGCUUGAGCGGUACGGCCCCUUCGGGGGUACACNAGCANCGAACGGGUGAGUAUCGCGUGGGUAACCCACCCANAGGUGGGGGAUAGCCCCGGGAAACCGGGGGUAAUUCCGCAUGAGUCCUCGGUGACACAAGUCGCCGCGGGGAAAGGCGGGGAUCCUUCGGGACCUGUCGCCUCUGGAUGGGCCCGCGUCCGAUUAGCUAGUUGGUAGGGUAAUGGCCUACCAAGGCGACGAUCGGUAGCCGGCCUGAGAGGGUGAACGGCCACAUUGGGACUGAGACACGGCCCAGACUCCUACGGGAGGCAGCAGUGGGGAAUUUUGGGCAAUGGGGGAAACCCUGACCCAGCGACGCCGCGUGGAGGAUGAAGGCCUUCGGGUUGUAAACUCCUGUCAGGUGGGAAGAAAAGCUGUCCGGUUAAUACCCGGAUGGAAUUGACGGUACCACCAAAGGAAGCCCCGGCUAACUCCGUGCCAGCAGCCGCGGUUAAUACGGAGGGGGCAAGCGUUAUUCGGGAUUUACUGGGCGUAAAGCGCACGUAGGCGGCAUGGUAAGUCACAGGUUGAAAGCCCUCCGGCU
rnacentral:rRNA from 1 species